UGUAAAUAAAAAAGCCAAUUUAAAAAAAUCGACGAUACUCGGAAAAUUGGAUUUUACUAUGUAUGUAACUUCAAAAACUACGUUAACUGUUUGACGCGAAAGCAUUUUUAAAAAAAUAAAUAAUUUGAAUUAUAUAGGUAAUUAUAAAUAUUGUUUUUUAAGAUCAUCAACUUUCGGAUCUGAUGACCAUUUUUUUAAAUUAUUGAAAAAAAACAGACUUUAAUACAAUAGAAAAACGUGGAAUGAGCGUAUUUGACAUUUUUUUUUUUUUUUAUAUGAAAGUUUAAAAGUAAGUAUAAAAGAAUUAAACAUAUUCAAAUUUAGAAGACUUUGUUGGAAAAAUAGAAUCAUCAGGAAUGAAAAAAAAACCAUAGUUUUACAGUGCAUAUCAAAAUUUCCGAUGUCGAUCUUCGUUCAAUUAUUGCUGUUGUUUUAAAAUGAACUGACAAUGGAUUUAUUCAACUAGAAUCCAAUGAUGGAGUGAUAAACAACUAUAUACUCUCGAUCCCAGUUCACAGAAUGUUCAAAAAAUUUGUUAGCUGUAGAAACUGUUCCAAAUGAAAGUAUUAUAUUAAGAUCUACGGAAACUGCGCAGUCACUGGGAACUGGUCAGGGUUUUUUUUAAGUGCACUUGUACCAAAAAAUGUGACACAAAGCGAUGUGUUUGUAGAAAAAAAGAGGUAUUGUGCAACUCUAAAUGCCAAAAAUAGCCUUACAUGUAAAAAUAAAUAAAUAAAUAAUAUAA